UGCGCCUGCGCAAGCAGAAUCGCCGUGCCAGAGUUCUCUGCCAGCUGCUGUGCACUGCUGUCAGUGCAAAGAUGGGAUGGACAUUUUUUUUCAGAUUUUCUGCUGUUGUGGGAGUAUGGCAAGAGUUUGAGGGGGCGGAGAAAGGGAUUGGGAAUGUGAAAAGGGAAGAUAGCACCUGCGCUAAGCACAUUCCUAGGAUUGGGCCGCGUCUCGGGGAUGCAGAGUGGGCUCUUCCGCGCGCCCUGCAGCCAUAGGAGUGGACGCCUGCCCAGGCCGAGGGGCAAGGACUUGCGGGGUGGGGUCUCUGUGCAUGCGCGGAGCUGAAAGGGAGCGUUUUGCAGAUCUCCACGCGUGCGCAACUCUCGGGACGUGGACGCGGUGAACAGUUACGCACAAUCGUGUUUCUGACACAAACACACCCUGCCAGGUGGAAGCCAGGAUGGAGGGCAGGCCUCGCUUUCUGUCCCAGAUCCGCCAAUCCUCCGAUCCCUGGAUCCUCCAAUGAUGGCAUCAACUCUCUGGGCUACAGGCUGCUCUCCAAAGAGCAGCUGCCACUCUACACCAACCUUACUGUGGACAUAACUUCCAAGCCUCAGCAGACCCAGUGCCAAGCUGAGGGGUAUUUUAUCUGGAAGCCAGAACAGAGCCCCUGAGGCCAAGGUCACAGGGAAGCCCUCCUGCUCACCUCACCUGGUUUCUUAUUAAAGUAGAGUUUAUUUUAUCUCCUUUCUGCCAUCCCUAAUUCCUUCCAUCCAUCCAUCCAUCCAUCCAUCCAUCUUUCCCCUCCCUCCCUCCCUUCUUCUCCUCCUCCCCACCCCUGCUUCUUUUCUUUCUUUCAACUAUGUCCAGAAGGCCCUUCUUAACAAACACUAAUUAGUACAGGGAAAGGUCUCUUUAAGUGAAUGCAUUUAAAAUAGGGAGUCCACCUUUGUGGUAAAUAGUGUGCAUGACGUGAGUCUAGAUCAGGACUUCCCACUUGGUAACAGAAUUCAAUUUCUCAAAAUACCUUUAUUUCAGAUUUAAUGAAAUUCCAUGUUUGUUGAAUCGUUAAGAACAAGCAUUUGUGUUGUACUCACGGUGGACAGCCACCAUUCUAAUGCUUGACUUUACAUAAUUAACGCAUGUAAUCUGCAAAGGAGCCACAAGGUGAGAUCUAUUAUUAUUUCCAUUGUGCCACUGGAGAAAUUAAGGCAGAGAGGUUAAGUUGCUUGCCACCAAACUAGCGAGGGGCAGAGCUGGGAUGUGUAGCAUCCAGGUAGGCUGGCUCCAGAGCCCAUGAGCCUAACUGCUACUGUGCCCAACCUUUGUGCUAAUCCCCACAACAGUCAAAGGAUGGAUCGAGUACUGGUUUUGGGGGUGGGGGCAGGGGACUCCAGGCAGUAUGUUUUCUGAUCACAUCACAUGACAGUAGGACAUUCUUCAUUUCACUGUGGCUUUCACUGCCCAACAAUAAAAUGGUCAUGGGCACUUUGGGAGGCCAAAGGGGGUGGAUCAUGAGGUCAGGAAAUCAAGAUCAU